GUAGGUGGCAAGCGUUGUCCGGAAUUAUUGGGCGUAAAGCGCGCGCAGGCGGUUCUUUAAGUCUGAUGUGAAAGCCCCCGGCUCAACCGUGGAGGGUCAUUGGAAACUGGAGAACUUGAGUACAGAAGAGGAAAGCGGAAUUCCACGUGUAGCGGUGAAAUGCGUAGAGAUGUGGAGGAACACCAGUGGCGAAGGCGGCUUUCUGGUCUGUAACUGACGCUGAGGCGCGAAAGCGUGGGGAGCAAACAGGGAUUAGAUACCCUGGUAGUCCACGCCGUAAACGAUGAGUGCUAAGUGUUAGGGGGGUUUCCGCCCCCUUAGUGCUGCAGCUAACGCAUUGAGCACUCCGCCUGGGAGUACGGCCGCAAGGCUG
rnacentral:rRNA from 1 species